CCUACGGGGGGCUGCAGUGGGGAAUAUUGCACGAUGGGCGCAAGCCUGAUGCAGCCAUGCCGCGUGUGUGAAGAAGGCCUUCGGGUUGUAAAGCACUUUCAGCGGGGAGGAAGGCGGUGAGGUUAAUAACCUCAUCGAUUGACGUUACCCGCAGAAGAAGCACCGGCUAACUCCGUGCCAGCAGCCGCGGUAAUACGGAGGGUGCAAGCGUUAAUCGGAAUUACUGGGCGUAAAGCGCACGCAGGCGGUCUGUCAAGUCGGAUGUGAAAUCCCCGGGCUCAACCUGGGAACUGCAUUCGAAACUGGCAGGCUAGAGUCUUGUAGAGGGGGGUAGAAUUCCAGGUGUAGCGAUGAAAUGCGUAGAGAUCUGGAGGAAUACCGGUGGCGAAGGCGGCCCCCUGGACAAAGACUGACGCUCAGGUGCGAAAGCGUGGGGAGCAAACAGGAUUAGAUACCCCGGUAGUC
rnacentral:rRNA from 1 species